UACGUGGGGGGCUAGCGUUGCUCGGAAUCACUGGGCGUAAAGGGUGCGUAGGCGGGUCUUUAAGUCCGGGGUGAAAUCCUGGAGCUCAACUCCAGAACUGCCUUUGAUACUGAAGAUCUUGAGUUCGGGAGAGGUGAGUGGAACUGCGAGUGUAGAGGUGAAAUUCGUAGAUAUUCGCAAGAACACCAGUGGCGAAGGCGGCUCACUGGCCCGAUACUGACGCUGAGGCACGAAAGCGUGGGGAGCAAACAGG
rnacentral:rRNA from 1 species